CAGCGCGUACUCGUCCCUAAACCACCAUUGAAGCCCCUCCUCUCUUCUCCAGAUCUACACUCGAUGGAUGAUUCUCUUCAAAACUCACCACCAGGUUCGAUCAUAACGUUUCAGUAUCUUCCUAUUGGUGGUGGUUUUGACCUAUGAGUCUCUCGUAUUCAUCUUAACGCGUUUAGCUGGUGUUUUUCACGCUUCUAUAGUUUUUCAGAAGUUAUUGCGAAGGAGCCCAUCUCAGAUCUGAAGCCGUGGAGCUGUUUUUUCCGAUGCGACGAUUCCGAUCUGAAAUCUGGUGGCUAAAGGAGGCUGGAGUUUAUGAUGUUUGGUUAUUCGGCGUGUAAUUGUAGUCAUGAAUUGAAAUUGGAAGAUAGAAAGGAGCUUUAGGUGUGAUUGUUGAUUGUUGAUAUGGAUGUAUAAGAUAUCGGCCGGGAUUGGCUCAGGUGAUGAGUGGGUCUUGGACCGAUCUUUGUCAUCCGGCCUUUGCCAUGGCAGGUGCGCUUGCAUGGCAGGUCAAAACAAAUUAAUAAAAAAAGAGAGGUUUGUUGGUUCGGAGGGGAAGACAGCAUGGGAGUUUUGAUUUAUUUGCCCAGGGUCUUCCUCUCUGUGUGUGCUCUGUGUCCUGCUUGCUUUCUUUAUUCCCCUUUAUAUUUGCCUGCCUGCAAAUCUCACACUCGGAUUCUGGUCAUCUUCAGCGGCAAUAUUCGGCACCAAUUCUAAGGUAUUAUGCAACUAAUUCUAUUAUCUCUGAUUAUUUACUCUGGUACAUAGCAGGUUCAUCAUAAUAAUGCGUCAAUAUUCGCAUAUACCCUGCAAUAUUCCUAUAUAUCUGCCUAAUAUUCUUAUACGAGUGCGUAAUUUUUCUCUUUCCCAAGGCAACUUGGUACAUUCAACUUAUCUACCUGGUUAUGCAAGUUGAUCAAGUCUUGGUCUUUGUUAUACAAGUUCACCAAGGCGUAUUGCUUAUCUACCUGGUUUGCCAAAUUCCGUUAGUUUUUGCUAAUCAACAAGAUUGUUCAAAUGCAAUGUGCGGGUGAAUAUAUUAAUCAUUGUUCCUUCAGACACAAGUUCCUGGUCUAUUUGAAGACAUAAAAUUAACUAUAUUUGACAUAUUUUGUAUGCAUGUGAACUUGAAAAGUCCUUAUGAUUACAGUUUGCUGUAAGUAAUUCACUGAUCCACUCACUUAUAAAUGAGGUAAUUCUGUUUAAAUCAUGUUCCAUUGUCCAUGUUAUUGUGAAAUUAUUCCAUAUUUCUGCUCUUGAUAUAUAGUUUAUUUACACCUGCCUUGAGCUGGUGAUUGAUGGUACCGCACGGUUCCUCUCCCCCAAGUUGAUGAAUAAAUUCUGCCAUUGGCAAGUUGUAUUCAA